rnacentral:rRNA from 1 species
GACGAACGCUGGCGGCGUGCCUAAUACAUGCAAGUCGAACGCUGAAGGAGGAGCUUGCUUCUCUGGAUGAGUUGCGAACGGGUGAGUAACGCGUAGGUAACCUGCCUGGUAGCGGGGGAUAACUAUUGGAAACGAUAGCUAAUACCGCAUAAUAGUAGAUGUUGCAUGACAUUUGCUUAAAAGUUGCAAUUGCAUCACUACCAGAUGGACCUGCGUUGUAUUAGCUAGUUGGUGGGGUAACGGCUCACCAAGGCGACGAUACAUAGCCGACCUGAGAGGGUGAUCGGCCAAACUGGGAAUGAGACACGGCCCAGAAUCCUAAGGGAGGCAGCAGUAGGGAAUCUUCGGCAAUGGAAGGAAGUCUGACCGAGCAAAGCCGCGUGAGUGAAGAAGGUUUUCGGAUCGUAAAGCUCUGUUGUAAGAGAAGAAAGAGUGUGAGAGUGGAAAGUUCACACUGUGACGGUAUCUUACCAGAAAGGGACGGCUAACUACGUG